UCAGCCUGCAUUAAAAUACACCAGGUGCAUUGCUGUUCAUUUAAGUAUUGGUAUUUUAAAUUGUAACCAUGUUUUCUAAUUAUUCAUGUGACAGUCAUUGUUACUGUUAUAUUGCUGUAUGAAUACUGCUGUUCAUAUUUUUGUUAGACAUGUAAUGAAUGUAUU